rnacentral:rRNA from 1 species
AUACCGAGGGUGCAAGCGUUAAUCGGAUUUACUGGGCGUAAAGCGCGCGUAGGCGGCUAAUUAAGUCAAAUGUGAAAUUCCCGAGCUUAACUUGGGAAUUGCAUUCGAUACUGGUUAGCUAGAGUGUGGGAGAGGAUGGUAGAAUUCCAGGUGUAGCGGUGAAAUGCGUAGAGAUCUGGAGGAAUACCGAUGGCGAAGGCAGCCAUCUGGCCUAACACUGACGCUGAGGUGCGAAAGCAUGGGGAGCAAACAGGAUUAGAUACCCGAGUAGUCC